GUCCACGCCGUAAACGAUGGGCACUAGGUGUGGGAGGUGUCGACUCCUCCCGUGCCGGAGCUAACGCAUUAAGUGCCCCGCCUGGGGAGUACGGCCGCAAGGCUAAAACUCAAAGGAAUUGACGGGGACCCGCACAAGCAGCGGAGCAUGUGGUUUAAUUCGACGCAACGCGAAGAACCUUACCUGGGUUUGACAUGUUCCUGACCGCCGUGGAAACACGGUUUCCCUUUAUUGGGCAGGAUCACAGGUGGUGCAUGGCUGUCGU
rnacentral:rRNA from 1 species